UACGUAGGUGGCAAGCGUUGUCCGGAUUUAUUGGGCGUAAAGCGAGCGCAGGCGGUUCUUUAAGUCUGAUGUGAAAGCCCCCGGCUCAACCGGGGAGGGUCAUUGGAAACUGGAGAACUUGAGUGCAGAAGAGGAGAGUGGAAUUCCAUGUGUAGCGGUGAAAUGCGUAGAUAUAUGGAGGAACACCGGUGGCGAAAGCGGCUCUCUGGACUGUCACUGACACUGAGGCUCGAAAGCGUGGGUAGCAAACAGG
rnacentral:rRNA from 1 species